UUUAGGGGUAGGGGUCAUGAUCUUUGACCUUUUAACCUGUCAUGUCUUCAAAUCGGUGUCUCGUCGGUUUCGAGUUUUUGGUUAACUUAAGCCUCGCGUUCGACAUUCAGGCUUCCGCUACCGCGGUCGCUGUGGGCAGUUCGCUGGUUUGGGUGGCAAAGUUAAUAUGCGAUGAGUGUGUGAGGAAAAUGGAGGAAACUGAAGGGAUUAUACCGUCGCUUUCAUUUACAAGCUACUGAGGGAAUCAGACCAGGUCCGAGACACUGAGUAAAGCAGCGAUAUGGAUUUAAAAAUCAGAGUGGACGCCAGCUUAAACGGCUGCCUGAUUCUGUCACUGACAGGGGACGUUCCAGUUCUGCUGUCCCCCUGUCCCGUCACCCACGAGAGAGACGAUGUGUCUGGGGUCUGAGUGUGCCAUCGCCGGCCAGCAGCCCACUGUGGGGCUUUUACUGGGGGAGACGCCCGCCCGUCUACCAGCUGACACGGCAAUCGAACGAGGAACAGACGAGGGGCUUAUGCCCGUCCCCCUGCCCGCCACGAACGAAGCAGCAGAUCAGGUGUCGUGGUGAGGAUCUUUCAGGACCAACGCCCCUGAGACUGCGAAAUGCUGCCCUGUUUCCACUCGCCGUGUUGCUGCAGCCUCGCAUGUUGUUUUCGUAACGCCGAGCUGCAUCUAUAGGGUUUCAUUGCUGGGCGAUAUUAGUGUCUCCGCAUCUCAUUUUCUGGUCGGCGCUCUCCGGCGUUCCGCUCUGUCGCAAUCACUCCGGCCUCUUUCACCUGCUUCUGGUUGUGGUUUCACUGGCACACCGACCCAGACCAGACGUCUGGUCCGAUUGGGGCUGCAGGUGACGCACCCCAGCGAAAGGGGUCUGAUUGCCGGCUUUUUGUUUGAGUUGAAGCGCUGAGUCGACGAUCAAAGGCUUAAGCUUUUUGAAAAAUCUCUAGGCCUUGAUUUUUAUCUUCCUGCAGGGGUUCUGGUGGAGUGGAGGUACGCCGAGAUCCCCACAUGAUCUGACCCACGUGAUUAAUGAUCCCUCCUUCUUGGCCACCUCCCCUCAUUCCACUCCUCCGCCUCCUAUCCUCCCAUCCCUCCCAAGAGGACUUGCUUUUGCCUGCAGAAGCAUCACAGGUCUUAAUGUCAUGAAGUCAUGAAGAUUCGAGGAGCUGCCUGGCCUGCCCCGGUCUGGCAGUGCCCUCUGUCUAACACGGGCGACAUGGGAGAUGAUGACUAGGAGUCAGCCACUUCUGUGACAGUGGCGCUGUGUGCAUGUCUUGUGCCACACCCUCUGCCACUGCGGGGGGGGGGGCAUCGCCAUAGAAACCGCCACAAACUGUGAGCAGGAACCAUGUCUUUGCUCGGUGAAGGCAACCGAGGGGGUAGGGUGGGCCAAAAAUGGAUAAAGGAGUCCCCGAUGCCAGCGAGACCCUACGGUCCGUUUACAUCUGUCAAACCGAGAGGAGGAAUCCCGCCUUUCAGGGAAGAAUGGCUCCAUAAUCCCUGCCUGUGAAAGGAAGGCCUCGAUGCAGAGGCCCGAAAGCGCCGGGCCGGGCAGAGCUCAGGCGGUGCCGACGCCGGCCCCCACGCGGGAAGGCGGCGUUAAUUAUUCCCGUGCCGGCGUUCCCAGCCCCUCCGUGCCGGGCACAUGCCCCGGGAUUAUCCGGCACUGUCUCCAGUUGAUCACGGUGCGGUGGGGUGAUGGGGAUGCGUUAUGGAUGGGGACCUCGGCUGAGGUCUAAUCCGAUAAAUUGCUUAGAGAAACAACGGUCCUGUGUAGUUUCUCCAACCCCCCCCCCCCUUUACUGGCAGCAAUAAAUAGCUUCUUUCUCUAACAUGUCUAAUCCUGCUAAACAGCACAGAAUCCUAUUAGUCCAUGAAUUGUAAAUCCCGCUUCGGCACCUCGCUUGUCCUGCGGUGUUUCAUCGUGCAGCGGUGGGGGGGGGGCAGUCCCUCUCACAUCUCUGAACCGGGAGAGUGUGGGUCUGGCGAGCGAGGGUGUGUGCGUGCACUGGGCCCAUUGCGUGCUUCAUGGGAAUGUCACCCCCACCAGAGGGACCCCCUCCCUGUGUGGCUGCUCUCUGAUGUCCAGAGAGCCUGAUGGAAAUUGGUUUUUAUGUUGGGGGGGGGGAACGAAACCACAACAACGUCUGCUCACUGCUCUCAGUCAUCGUGGCCACAUGUUGUAUUCUCUGACU